UAUUUUAUUCAGCUUUUAUAUGGGUCCUCAUACACAAAAUUUUCAAGUUCUAUUUAACAAUCUUUUUCAUUAACAACCUUGCUUCGCCAGAUGAUUAGAGGAAGUGUUACAAUCCCAUGAAAACUACAUUUCUUCUUCCAAUGUUUCACCAAACGUUUUUUUUUUUUUUUUUUUUUUUUUUUUUUUUUUUUUUUUUAAAUAAAUUUUGCCAAUAUUUCCAGAUUUUAUAUAACCAUCAAUUCUUCCAACUAGUUUCUCAGCCAAACAAAAUGGCUUCAAUCUUUUGGGCUUCCAUUUUAGCUUUUAUCAGCUUUCUAGUUGUCCUCACAGAUGCACAAGGUCCUGCAGCUGCACCAGCUGUAUUGCCGAUUACGACGCCACCACCGACUACCACACCAGCUGCAGCAACACAACCACCUGUAGCAACAAGCCCAGCAGCAACUACACCGAUAUCACCACCAUCCCCAAAAGUUGCACCAUCCAAGAGCCCCACUGUUCCGCCACCCAAAGUUCCACCAGUCUCAACUCCAUCACAGGCACCUUCACUACCAUUGCAACCAGCUGCCUCGCCAUUACCACCACCACCAGUUGUAUCACCUCCACCACUUCCGCCUCCUUUACCAGCACCAGUGGUUUCCCCAACACCUGUUCAACAACCACCGGCACCAGCUCCUGUAAAGGAGACACCAGCACCAGCUCCAGCCAAAAAAGCACCAACACCUGCACCUUCAACACCACCAGUACCAGCACCAACACCGGUUGGCCAACCACCAGCCCUAACACCUGAUUUGGUGCCAUCAGCUGAACCAACUCCCCCUAAACACAAGCAUAAACACAAGCACAAACACAAGAGGCAUCACCACGCACCUGAACCUGCACCAGCUCCAAAAACUCAUCUUCUGAGCCCUCCAGCACCACCUACCUUGGUAGACUCAUCGGACGAAACAACACCAGCACCAUCACCAAACCCGAAUGGAGGAAAUAUGCUACAUCCCCAAGGAGGAAAUUCUGGAACGUGGAUGAGAACUGGACUAGCUAUUCUAGUCCUGGUGACCAUGAUAGGCUACACUUCUUAGCAAUCUUCUAUGAUGAGCUAUGAAUUGAUUGUACUACAAGAUUGUUUUAUACACACACGCAUUUAUUUCCUCCCUUAAGUCAUACUCAACAACAAGGCCAAGAUUAUCAACUAACUUGUGAUGCUGGAGGCACCCUGCACACUGAUGAAAAGCACCGCCAGUCGGUCAGAGGAACAUAGAAGAUUCUCAUAUUAUUCAUAUUCAAAGAAUGUGGUCUUCCAACUUUUAUAAAACUCCCUUAAGACUAUAAGGUUAAUAAUAAUCAGGCCAGAUGUUAAGAUCAAAGCAUUUCAAAUAUAGAUCUGUAGCAAGUAUAUAAACAUCGGACUUAGAUCCUCACCAUUGCAUUCCAAAUGGGGAUUAUCAGUUUAUUGUA